AUACGGAGGGGGCUAGCGUUGUUCGGAAUUACUGGGCGUAAAGCGCACGUAGGCGGAUUAAAAAGUUAGAGGUGAAAUCCCGGGGCUUAACCCUGGAACUGCCUUUAAAACUAGUAGUCUAGAGUUCGAGAGAGGUGAGUGGAAUUCCAAGUGUAGAGGUGAAAUUCGUAGAUAUUUGGAGGAACACCAGUGGCGAAGGCGGCUCACUGGCUCGAUACUGACGCUGCGGUGCGAAAGCGUGGGGAGCAAACAGGAUUAGAAACCCGAGUAGUCC
rnacentral:rRNA from 1 species